UGUUAAAAAUUUAAUCCAUUUUUACUAUUAAAAAUUAGCAUGGUUAACGAAAUAACCUGACAAUGAUACAUGGCUGGGUAUGUGUAACUCAUACUGACGUAUAGGGACCAGUUUUUAACAGUAGAAGUGGAUGGAAAUUUUAAAA
rfam:Gossypium raimondii Chr10_contig_1367, whole genome shotgun sequence.